AAAGGGUGGAGCACAACGUCGAAAGCAGCCGUUGGGAGCCCAGGAGGCGGGGCGCCUGUGGGAGCCGUGGAGGGAACUUUCCCAGUCCCCGAGGCGGAUCCGGUGUUGCAUCCUUGGAGCGAGCUGAGAGCUCGAGUACAGAACCUGCUAAGGCCAUCAAACCUAUUGAUCGGAAGUCAGUCCAUCAGAUUUGCUCUGGGCCGGUGGUACCGAGUCUAAGCACUGCGGUGAAGGAGUUAGUAGAAAACAGUCUGGAUGCUGGUGCCACUAAUAUUGAUCUAAAGCUUAAGGACUAUGGAGUGGAUCUCAUUGAAGUUUCAGGCAAUGGAUGUGGGGUAGAAGAAGAAAACUUCGAAGGCUUAACUCUGAAACAUCACACAUCUAAGAUUCAAGAGUUUGCCGACCUACCUCAGGUUGAAACUUUUGGCUUUCGGGGGGAAGCUCUGAGCUCACUUUGUGCACUGAGAAACGUGCCUGCUUCCCCUUCGCCUUCUGCCGUGAUUGUCAGUUUCCUGAGGCCUCCCCAGCCAUGCUUCCUGUACAGCCUGCAGAACUGACUCCUAGAAGUACCCCACCCCACCCCUGCUCCUUGGAGGACAACGUGAUCACUGUAUUCAGCUCUGUCAAGAAUGGUCCAGGUUCUUCUAGAUGAUCUGCACAAAUGGCUCCUCUCCUCCUUCCUGAUGUCUGCCAUUAGCACUGGAAUAAAGUUCCUGCUGAAAAUCCACAUCUCCCCUG
rnacentral:lncRNA from 1 species